GCCAGCAUAGCAUAGUGGUUUGAAUGUUGGACUACAACUCUGGAAGCCGGGGUUCAACUCCCAGCUUGGCC